rnacentral:rRNA from 1 species
CGGGCGUGCCUAAAUACAUGCAAGUCGAACGCCAUUUGUGGUUGAAAUGAUAUGAAGAACUUGUUCAGAUUUGAUUUUCAACAUUGCAAUGAGUGGCGAACGGGUGAGUAACACGUGGGAAACCUACCUCUUAGCAGGGGAUAACAUUUGGAAACAAUGCUAAUACCGUAUAAUAAUUAAACCGCAUGGGUUUUAGUUUAAAAGAUGGUCUUGCUAUCACUAAGAGAUGGUCCCGCGGUGUAUUAGUUAGUUGGUGAGGUAAUGGCUCACCAAGACAAUGAUACAUAGCCGAGUUGAGAGACUGACCGGCCACAAUGGGACUGAGACACGGCCCAUACUCCUACGGGAGGCAGCAGUAGGGAAUCUUCCACAAUGGACGAAAGUCUGAUGGAGCAACGCCGCGUGUGUGAUGAAGGGUUUCGGCUCGUAAAACACUGUUGUAAGAGAAGAAUGACAUUGAGAGUAACUGUUCAAUGUGUGACGGUAUCUUACCAGAAAGGAACGGCUAAAUACGUG